rnacentral:rRNA from 1 species
AUUGAACGCUGGCGGCAUGCCUAACACAUGCAAGUCGAACGCGAAAGAGGGGCAACUCUUGAGUAGAGUGGCGGACGGGUGAGUAAUACGUAGGAAUCUUCCUUUAAGUGGGGGAUAACCACGCGAAAGCGCGGCUAAUACCUAAUAAUAUCUUCGGAUUAAAGCAGGGGACCGCAAGGCCUUGCGUUUUUAGAUGAGCUUACGCCGGAUUAGCUAGUGGGUGGGGUAAUGGCCUACCAAGGCGACGAUCCGUAGUUGGUUUGAGAGAACGACACGCCACACUGGAACUGAGAUGAGGCCCAGACUCCUACGCGAGGCAGCAGUGGGGAAUAUUGGACAAUGGAGGCAAGCCUGAUCCAGCGAUGCCGCGUGUGCGAUGAAGGCCUUCGGGUUGUAAAGCACUUUUAGUUGGAACAAAAUGCUCAAAGUUAAUACCUUGGAGUGUUGAUUUAACCUACAGAAAAAGCACCGGCUAACUCUGUGCCAGCCGCCGCGGUAA